CAAUAUAUUCAGCCACUUUAUACAAACCAAGUACUUUGUCUUCUUUCUUCUUAUAGCAAAUUGGAUAAUGUCUAGACAUUUUUUAUAGAAGGACAAAGGAUAUACUGGUGGAUGACUUCUAGUCUGCUUGGCCCUUUUAAAGAAGGUGAAUGAAAAAGGGGGGGGGGUCUCAUUUGAAAGUCUCUAAUAUCUGACCUAAUUUUGAGACAGAAACUUGCUGCUCCAUUGGAAUCUCAGCUAGAAGAGGACUUAGCUAGAGCACAAAGUGGUAAUACAAAAUAAAAUAGGUAAGGUAUUUUAUCGGCGUUGCUCUUAAAUUAUUUAAUGCUGUACUGAGUAAGGGACAGGGACUUGCAUUGUGGAAGAUAUUGUUAAUAAAGAAUGUUAUCCUGCUUAGUUGGAAAUUUAUGGAAGUAUAUCUGACUGAACAGAUUCUGAGUCCCUUCCUCUGCCAAAGGUCCUAUGGGAGAUCGCCCACUGCAUGGCUGGAGGGAACAAAGAUGGCAGUCACCCACAAGCUCUCCAAUGCCCAUUUGUAGGCAAGCUGUCUUUCACCUACAGAGUCACUGGUUGAGCUUGUUUUAAUGCAGACAUCAUAGACUACAUGCCCUUUUGGCAUUUUUCCAUCAAUCAUUCGGAAACUAUCAGGCUAGGCUGUUUCAUUUCCUAUUGUAGGAAACAGUAGACAUUUUCUCUGCCUUGCAUGUAACUAUAUUGAUGGGAGGGCAUUUUCUACAGAAAUUAUACUGAAUUCUUUUUCUUUCUUUUAAAGAGAUUUCACUGAAGUCAAAAGAGGAAUAAUUGAACUGUAUCUGAGAACACAAUCUGAGACACAUCACUACCCCGGUGUAGUAAACUGUGUAAACCUGUGGACUUCAGCAAGAAGCCCGGAUGGUACUGUGCGGCAGGUGGAACCUCUGUGGAGAUACAUUCAUGGAAGGAAGCAUGCUGCAACAGAAAUGGAGUGUGAUUCAUUCAUUAUGAAAGACAACAAGGACAGAUUUUUUAUAAUUACCUAUAUCAAGUGGUGCAAUUUGGUUCAUGCACCACUCUGGCACUCAACCUCUCCAUCUAUAAAAUAAAGUGAAUGGAUUAUAUCAUCUUUUAUGUCCCUUGAAGCUCUAAAAUCUUCUAACCUCAUGCUUAUAAUGAUUUGAUUCCUUAGAUUUGACUACAUUUUCAUCUAUUUUUUUUCCAGGGUAUGAUGCAAGACAGAAAUUUAAUGAAAGUUAGAUUGAUGUGAAGGGAUAAAGUUGAUUUAAUAAAUCUAAGGACAUUAUUGAUUAUAUGAAUGUU
rnacentral:lncRNA from 12 species